AACGAACGCUGGCGGCGUGCCUAACACAUGCAAGUCGUGCGGGAAUAGGGGAGCAAUCCCCUUAGUACAGCGGCGCACGGGUGAGUAACACGUAGGUAACCUACCUUGGAGACUGGGAUAACCUGUCGAAAGACUGGCUAAUACCAGAUAAGACCACGAGAGCUGCGGCUCUUGGGGUAAAAGAUGGCCUCUGUUUACAAGCUAUUACUCUAGGAUGGGCCUGCGCGCCAUUAGCUAGUUGGUGGGGUAAUGGCCUACCAAGGCGAAGAUGGCUAGCUGGUCUGAGAGGAUGAUCAGCCACACUGGGACUGAGACACGGCCCAGACUCCUACGGGAGGCAGCAGUGGGGAAUAUUGCGCAAUGGGCGAAAGCCUGACGCAGCGACGCCGCGUGGGUGAUGAAGGCCUUCGGGUCGUAAAGCCCUGUCGGGAGGGAAGAAACCUUAUCGGGAAAAUAUCCCGGUAACUUGACGGUACCUCCUAAGGAAGCACCGGCUAACUCCGUGCCAGCCGCCGCGGUAACAC
rnacentral:rRNA from 1 species